CCAAAGGCUCUUUUAAGAGCCACUAACCUGUCAGUAUCAGAGCUGU
rfam:Felis catus isolate Cinnamon breed Abyssinian chromosome B2, whole genome shotgun sequence.